rnacentral:rRNA from 1 species
UGGGGAAUAUUGCACAAUGGAGGGAACUCUGAUGCAGCAACGCCGCGUGCGGGAUGACGGCCUUCGGGUUGUAAACCGCUUUCAGCCAUGACGAAGCUUUUGUGACGGUAGUGGUAGAAGAAGCACCGGCUAACUACGUGCCAGCAGCCGCGGUGAUACGCAGGGUGCGAGAGUUUUCAGGAAUUAUUGGGCGUAAAGAGCUUGUAGGCGGUUUGUAGCGUCGAUAGUGUAAUCACGCAGCUUAACUGUGUGCCUGCGGUCGAUACGGGCUGACUAGAGGAGGGUAGGGGAGAAUGGAAUUCCCGGUGGAGCGGUGGAAUGCGCAGAUAUCGGGAGGAACACCAGUGGCGAAGGCGGUUCUCUGGACCUUACCUGACGCUAAGAAGCGAAAGCGUGGGUAGCAAACAUG